rnacentral:rRNA from 1 species
UUAAAUUGAAGAGUUUGAUCAUGGCUCAGAUUGAACGCUGGCGGCAGGCUUAACACAUGCAAGUCGAACGGUAACGGGUUGAAAGCUUGCUUUCAAUGCUGACGAGUGGCGGACGGGUGAGUAAGGCUUGGGGAUCUGGCUUUUGGAGGGGGAUAACCAUUGGAAACGAUGGCUAAUACCGCAUAGUAUCGAGAGAUGAAAGGGGUGGUUUAUGCCACUUGCCAAGGGAUGAACCCAAGUGAGAUUAGGUAGUUGGU